CACACACAUAGACAGACAGACAGACACAGACAAACACAGCUACACAGACAGACAGACAGACACACACAGCUACACAGACACACUGACAGACAGACAGACACAGCUACACAGACAGACACGCAGACAAACACACACACACACACCUACAGACAGUCAGACACACAGACAGACAGACACACAGGAAGGCUGACAGACAGACUCUUAGACAAACAGACACACAGACAGACAGACACACAGGUAGGCAGACACACAGACAAACACACACACACACACAUACACACACACCUACAGACAUUCAGACACACAGACAGACAGACAUACACACAGGCAGGCAAACAGACGGACAGACAGACAAACACAGCUACACAGACAGACAGACACACACACCUACAGACAGACAGACAGACAUACAGCUACACAGACAGACAAACACCUAAACAGACACACACAGCUACACAAACAGACAGACAGACACGCAGACAAACACACACACACACACACCUACAGACAGUCAAACACACAGACGGACAGACACACAGGCAGACAGACAGACAGACACACACACACAGACAGACAGACUUUAGACAGACAGACAGACAGACACACAGAAAGAGACACACAGAAAGAGAGACACAGACACACACAGAGACAGGCAGGCAGAAACAUAGACAGACAAACAGACAGACACACAGACACAGACAAUUAGACAGACAAACAGACAGGCAGACACACACGUACACACAUACACAGAUAGACAGACACACCAACAGACAGACAGACACACCGACAGACACACACACAGCUACACAGACAGACAGACACACCGACCGACACACACAGCUACACAGACAGACAGACACACACACACACAGAAAGACAGACAGACAGACACAGACACACCGACAGACAGACACACAGCUACACAGACAGACAGACACACCAACAGACAGAUACAUACCAACAGACAGAUACACACACACAGACAAACAGACACACUUACAGACAGACACACAGCUACACAGACACACACACACAGACAGACAGACAGACAGACAGACAGACAGAAAGACAGACACUUAG
rnacentral:lncRNA from 1 species